rnacentral:rRNA from 1 species
UACGGAAGGCAGCAGUGGGGAAUAUUGCACAAUGGGCGCAAGCCUGAUGCAGCCAUGCCGCGUGUAUGAAGAAGGCCUUCGGGUUGUAAAGUACUUUCAGUCGUGAGGAAGGUGUUAAGGUUAAUAACCUUAGCAAUUGACGUUAGCGACAGAAGAGGCACCGGCUAACUCCGUGCCAGCAGCCGCGGUAAUACGGAGGGUGCGAGCGUUAAUCGGAAUUACUGGGCGUAAAGGGCACGCAGGCGGUUAAUUAAGUUGGAUGUGAAAUCCCCGGGCUUAACCUGGGAAUGGCAUUCAAGACUGGUUAGCUAGAGUCUUGUAGAGGGGGUAGAAUUCCAUGUGUAGCGGUGAAAUGCGUAGAGAUGUGGAGGAAUACCGGUGGCGAAGGCGGCCCCUGGACAAAGACUGACGCUCAUGUGCGAAAGCGUGGGGAGCAAACAGGGAUUAGAUACC